ACGGAAGGAGACCUCUCUCUCCCCGGCUGCCUGGGAGCUGGUAUAAAACACCACCUAAAGGAGACGCUGGAGAAGGGAGCUCAGGACUCACGUUUGCCUAAGAGCAGUGACACAGUUGUUCGUCGUUUAGAAGCCUUUGGGACAUUUUUGUUGCAAAGGAGAUAUUUUUGUUCCAUCUCAUAGUUAUGCAUACAGUCGUGUUGAACAUCAAAAGGAGCCUGAUCUCGGCAGCAGCCGCCGCAUGACCCUGGGCACGUGAUUUACACCCUCCCCAGGCCUCAGCUUGCUCGCCCAGAAAGAUGGCAUUUAAGUGUCAUUUGAGUUCGGACAAUUGAUUUCUACUCCACCUGAUGAGUCCAGAGCCAGAAGGCUUAAAGAGUUUCAAGAUGAGAUUUGUUUUCUUAAAGAGAAAACUUAAUAGCUUCCAAGUCAGACACAUCGAUGGACUUAGAACACCCAGAUGACUUCAAAUAACGAUUUGGCCCAUCUCCUUCAUCUGGAUGGUUAAGACUGCAUGUCAAAAGAAAACUUAAAAAAGGGGGGAAGUUAGAAAACCUUCCUUGGUCUGUUGAUAAUAAAACGAAUGGACAUGAACUUGAA